GAUGAACGCUAGCGGGAGGCCUAACACAUGCAAGCCGAGCGGUAGAGUUUCUUCGGAAACUUGAGAGCGGCGCACGGGUGCGUAACACGUGUGCAACCUACCUUUAUCUGGGGGAUAGCCUUUCGAAAGGAAGAUUAAUACCCCAUAAUAUAAUGAUUGGCAUCAAUUAUUAUUGAAAACUCCGGUGGAUAGAGAUGGGCACGCGCAAGAUUUGAUAGUUGGUGAGGUAACGGCUCACCAAGUCAAUGAUCUUUAGGGGUCCUGAGAGGGAGAUCCCCCACACUGGUACUGAGACACGGACCAGACUCCUACGGGAGGCAGCAGUGAGGAAUAUUGAACAAUGGGUGAGAGCCUGAUCCAGCCAUCCCGCGUGAAGGAUGACGGUCCUAUGGAUUGUAAACUUCUUUUGUACAGGGAUAAACCUACCCUCGUGAGGGUAGCUGAAGGUACUGUACGAAUAAGCACCGGCUAACUCCGUG
rnacentral:rRNA from 1 species